rnacentral:rRNA from 1 species
CAGCAGCCGCGGUAAAACGUAGGGUGCAAGCGUUAAUCGGAAUUAUUGGGCGUAAAGCGCGCGCAGGCGGCCUAUCCAGUCUGUCUUAAAAGUUCGGGGCUCAACCCCGAGAUGGGAUGGAAACUAGUAGGCUAGAGUAUCGGAGAGGAAAGCGGAAUUCCUAGUGUAGCGGUGAAAUGCGUAGAUAUUAGGAGGAACACCAGUGGCGAAGGCGGCUUUCUGGACGAAAACUGACGCUGAGGCGCGAAAGCCAAGGGAGCGAGCGGGAUUAGAUACCCCCGUAGUCCCUGUCUCUUAUACA